rnacentral:rRNA from 2 species
UUACCCGCUGAACUUAAGCAUAUCAAUAAGCGGAGGAAAAGAAACUAACAAGGAUUCCCCUAGUAACGGCGAGUGAAGCGGGAAAAGCUCAAAUUUGUAAUCUGGCGCCUUCGGCGUCCGAGUUGUAAUCUCGAGAAGUAUUUUCCGCACUGGACCGCACAUAAGUCUGUUGGAAUACAGCGUCAUAGUGGUGAGAACCCCGUAUACGGUGCGGAUGCCCAGUGCUUUGUGAUAUACUUUCGAAGAGUCGAGUUGUUUGGGAAUGCAGCUCAAAUUGGGUGGUAAAUUCCAUCUAAAGCUAAAUAUUGGCGAGAGACCGAUAGCGAACAAGUACCGUGAGGGAAAGAUGAAAAGCACUUUGGAAAGAGAGUUAACAGUACGUGAAAUUGUUGGAAGGGAAACGCUUGAAGUCAGACUUGCAUUUUGGAGUUCAGCCGCAAGGUGUAUUCUUCAAUUCGCAGGCCAGCAUCAGUUUUCGGGGGUGGAAAAUCGCGGUUUGAAGGUAGCAGUUUCGGCUGUGUUAUAGCUUUCCGCUGGAUUCACUUUUGGGGACUGAGGAACGCAGUACGCUUUUUGCAAGACUUUCGAGUCUUCGU